rnacentral:rRNA from 1 species
AGUCGAACGAUGAAAUUCAGCUUGCUGAAUGAAUUAGUGGCAAACGGGUGCGUAACACGUGAGUAAUCUGCCUUUUAGUGGGGGAUAGCCCGAGGAAACUCGGAUUAAUACCGCAUAAUAUAUGAGAUCGCAUGAUCAAAUUAUUAAAGCUUGUAAUGGCGCUAAAAGAGGAACUCGCGGCCUAUCAGCUUGUUGGUGAGGUAGUGGCUUACCAAGGCAAAGACGGGUAGCUGGUCCGUGAGGAUGAUCAGCCACACUGGAACUGAGAUACGGUCCAGACACCUACGGGUGGCAGCAGUUUCGAAUAAUCCACAAUGGGCGCAAGCCUGAUGGUGCAAUGCCGCGUGGGGGAUGAAGGCCUUAGGGUCGUAAACCCCUGUCACCAAGGAACAAUAAGGUAGUUCAUAGCUAUCGAUGAGUUAACUUGGAGAGGAGGCAGUGGCUAACUCCGUGCCAGCAGCCGCGGUAAUACGGAGACUGCGAGCGUUACUCGGAUUCACUGGGCGUAAAGGGUGCGUAGGUUGUUAGGUAUGUCAGGUGUGAAAUCCCGGGGCUCAACUCCGGAACUGCGCCUGAAACUACCUAACUUGAGUAUAGGAGGGGAUAGCAGAAUUUCUGGUGUAGCGGUGAAAUGCGUAGAUAUCAGAAGGAAUACCAAUGGCGAAGGCAGCUAUCUGGACUAAUACUGACACUGAGGCACGAAAGCGUGAGGAGCGAAAGGGAUUAGAUACCCCUGUAGUCCACGCCCUAAACUUUGCACACUAAGCUUCGGCGCAUCGACCGCGUCGGGGCUCAAGCUAACGCGUUAAGUGUGCCGCCUGAGGACUACGGCCGCAAGGCUAAAACUCAAAGGAAUUGACGGGGCCCGCACAAGCGGUGGAGCAUGUGGCUUAUUCGAUGCAACGCGAAGAACCCUACCUGGUCUUGACAUGUAUGAAUCUUUCCAGAGAUGGAUUGAGUCCUUCGGGACGAUACACAGUGCUGCAU